UACGGGGGGGGCAAGCGUUGUUCGGAAUUACUGGGCGUAAAGGGCGCGUAGGCGGGCUCGCAAGUCAGGGGUGAAAUCCCACGGCUCAACCGUGGAAGUGCCUUUGAUACUGCGGGCCUUGAGGGAGGUAGGGGCGUGCGGAACUUCCGGUGGAGCGGUGAAAUGCGUAGAUAUCGGAAGGAACACCGGUGGCGAAGGCGACUUCCUGGCCUGUUCUUGACGCUGAGGCGCGAAAGCCAGGGGAGCAAACGGG
rnacentral:rRNA from 1 species